rnacentral:rRNA from 1 species
UACAGAGGGUGCAAGCGUUGUUCGGAAUUAUUGGGCGUAAAGGGCGCGUAGGCGGUGCGGUAAGUCUGCGGUGAAAUCUCCCGGCUCAACUGGGAGGCUGCCGUGGAAACUGCCGUGCUUGAGUGUGGGAGAGGUGAGUGGAAUUCCUGGUGUAGCGGUGAAAUGCGCAGAUAUCAGGAGGAACACCAAUUGCGAAGGCAGCUCGCUGGGACGUAACUGACGCUGAGACGCGAAAGCGUGGGGAGCAAACAGG